GUGAAUCAUCGAAUCUUUGAACGCAUAUUGCACUCUCUGGUAUUCCGGGGGGUAUGCCUGUUUGAGCGUCAUUUGUAAUAAUAUAAAUUCCAAGAUGUCGGGUGAUUUAAAAUGGGUUGUCCAUUUUUUGUGCUCGCCUAAAAUCCAAGCCGAGCUCAUUUUCUUGGGUUGCGUGAUACUUUCAGUUACCUAGUGACUUAACCAGGAAUCAUCGGGCAUGUUAUGAC
rnacentral:misc_RNA from 1 species